GGGUUGUGAGGUUAAGCGACUAAGCGUACACGGUGGAUGCCCUGGCAGUCAGAGGCGAUGAAGGACGUGCUAAUCUGCGAUAAGCGUCGGUAAGGUGAUAUGAACCGUUAUAACCGGCGAUUUCCGAAUGGGGAAACCCAGUGUGAUUCGUCACACUAUCAUUAACUGAAUCCAUAGGUUAAUGAGGCGAACCGGGGGAACUGAAACAUCUAAGUACCCCGAGGAAAAGAAAUCAACCGAGAUUCCCCCAGUAGCGGCGAGCGAACGGGGAGGAGCCCAGAGCCUGAAUCAGUGUGUGUGUUAGUGGAAGCGUCUGGAAAGGCGCGCGAUACAGGGUGACAGCCCCGUACACAAAAAUGCACAUAUUGUGAGCUCGAUGAGUAGGGCGGGACACGUGGUAUCCUGUCUGAAUAUGGGGGGACCAUCCUCCAAGGCUAAAUACUCCUGACUGACCGAUAGUGAACCAGUACCGUGAGGGAAAGGCGAAAAGAACCCCGGCGAGGGGAGUGAAAAAGAACCUGAAACCGUGUACGUACAAGCAGUGGGAGCCUCUUUAUGGGGUGACUGCGUACCUUUUGUAUAAUGGGUCAGCGACUUAUAUUCUGUAGCAAGGUUAACCGAAUAGGGGAGCCGAAGGGAAACCGAGUCUUAACUGGGCGUUAAGUUGCAGGGUAUAGACCCGAAACCCGGUGAUCUAGCCAUGGGCAGGUUGAAGGUUGGGUAACACUAACUGGAGGACCGAACCGACUAAUGUUGAAAAAUUAGCGGAUGACUUGUGGCUGGGGGUGAAAGGCCAAUCAAACCGGGAGAUAGCUGGUUCUCCCCGAAAGCUAUUUAGGUAGCGCCUCGUGAAUUCAUCUCCGGGGGUAGAGCACUGUUUCGGCAAGGGGGUCAUCCCGACUUACCAACCCGAUGCAAACUGCGAAUACCGGAGAAUGUUAUCACGGGAGACACACGGCGGGUGCUAACGUCCGUCGUGAAGAGGGAAACAACCCAGACCGCCAGCUAAGGUCCCAAAGUCAUGGUUAAGUGGGAAACGAUGUGGGAAGGCCCAGACAGCCAGGAUGUUGGCUUAGAAGCAGCCAUCAUUUAAAGAAAGCGUAAUAGCUCACUGGUCGAGUCGGCCUGCGCGGAAGAUGUAACGGGGCUAAACCAUGCACCGAAGCUGCGGCAGCGACGCUUAUGCGUUGUUGGGUAGGGGAGCGUUCUGUAAGCCUGUGAAGGUGUGCUGUGAGGCAUGCUGGAGGUAUCAGAAGUGCGAAUGCUGACAUAAGUAACGAUAAAGCGGGUGAAAAGCCCGCUCGCCGGAAGACCAAGGGUUCCUGUCCAACGUUAAUCGGGGCAGGGUGAGUCGACCCCUAAGGCGAGGCCGAAAGGCGUAGUCGAUGGGAAACAGGUUAAUAUUCCUGUACUUGGUGUUACUGCGAAGGGGGGACGGAGAAGGCUAUGUUGGCCGGGCGACGGUUGUCCCGGUUUAAGCGUGUAGGCUGGUUUUCCAGGCAAAUCCGGAAAAUCAAGGCUGAGGCGUGAUGACGAGGCACUACGGUGCUGAAGCGACAAAUGCCCUGCUUCCAGGAAAAGCCUCUAAGCAUCAGGUAACAUCGAAUCGUACCCCAAACCGACACAGGUGGUCAGGUAGAGAAUACCAAGGCGCUUGAGAGAACUCGGGUGAAGGAACUAGGCAAAAUGGUGCCGUAACUUCGGGAGAAGGCACGCUGAUAUGUAGGUGAAGCGACUUGCUCGUGGAGCUGAAAUCAGUCGAAGAUACCAGCUGGCUGCAACUGUUUAUUAAAAACACAGCACUGUGCAAACACGAAAGUGGACGUAUACGGUGUGACGCCUGCCCGGUGCCGGAAGGUUAAUUGAUGGGGUUAGCGCAAGCGAAGCUCUUGAUCGAAGCCCCGGUAAACGGCGGCCGUAACUAUAACGGUCCUAAGGUAGCGAAAUUCCUUGUCGGGUAAGUUCCGACCUGCACGAAUGGCGUAAUGAUGGCCAGGCUGUCUCCACCCGAGACUCAGUGAAAUUGAACUCGCUGUGAAGAUGCAGUGUACCCGCGGCAAGACGGAAAGACCCCGUGAACCUUUACUAUAGCUUGACACUGAACAUUGAGCCUUGAUGUGUAGGAUAGGUGGGAGGCUUUGAAGUGUGGACGCCAGUCUGCAUGGAGCCGGCCUUGAAAUACCACCCUUUAAUGUUUGAUGUUCUAACGUUGGCCCCUUAUCGGGGUUGCGGACAGUGUCUGGUGGGUAGUUUGACUGGGGCGGUCUCCUCCUAAAGAGUAACGGAGGAGCACGAAGGUUGGCUAAUCCUGGUCGGACAUCAGGAGGUUAGUGCAAUGGCAUAAGCCAGCUUGACUGCGAGCGUGACGGCGCGAGCAGGUGCGAAAGCAGGUCAUAGUGAUCCGGUGGUUCUGAAUGGAAGGGCCAUCGCUCAACGGAUAAAAGGUACUCCGGGGAUAACAGGCUGAUACCGCCCAAGAGUUCAUAUCGACGGCGGUGUUUGGCACCUCGAUGUCGGCUCAUCACAUCCUGGGGCUGAAGUAGGUCCCAAGGGUAUGGCUGUUCGCCAUUUAAAGUGGUACGCGAGCUGGGUUUAGAACGUCGUGAGACAGUUCGGUCCCUAUCUGCCGUGGGCGCUGGAGAACUGAGGGGGGCUGCUCCUAGUACGAGAGGACCGGAGUGGACGCAUCACUGGUGUUCGGGUUGUCAUGCCAAUGGCACUGCCCGGUAGCUAAAUGCGGAAGAGAUAAGUGCUGAAAGCAUCUAAGCACGAAACUUGCCCCGAGAUGAGUUCUCCCUGACCCUUUAAGGGUCCUGAAGGAACGUUGAAGACGACGACGUUGAUAGGCCGGGUGUGUAAGCGCAGCGAUGCGUUGAGCUAACCGGUACUAAUGAACCGUGAGGCUUAACCUUACAACGCCGAAG
rnacentral:rRNA from 1 species